UCUUCAUUCCCUACACUCUCUCACCGGUCAGAGAGUCGAGAGAGUGUGUGAAAUGAAGAGA
rfam:Pristionchus pacificus strain PS312 contig12792, whole genome shotgun sequence.